CAAGCGUGCUGGAUCAGCUGCAAGGGAGGAAAAGAUGUCACAGAGAGGAAGAAAACUUGGUUCUCUGUGUGUGCCGAAGGCUCAGCAGAGCACAGCAGCUCAGACAAUGGUGAGGUCAGAAACAGCUCCAGUGCUAAUGAUGGCUAAACUUCCUGGAACUGUGGAACUUCUCUUGGCAGAGGUAUUCAGCCCUAAGAAGGUGUCCAGAAGAGCCUGGGGAGAUGAGGGAAGAAGGCCCAGCAGCUGGAAGGCACCUGGGAAGGAAAUGCCAAGAUGUCUGGACCCCCCUCUACCUUUGGGGGUACUUCCAGUAGAUUCAGACAGCCUG